rnacentral:rRNA from 1 species
GAUGAACGCUGGCGGCGUGCUUAACACAUGCAAGUCGAACGGAAAGGCCCAAGCUUGCUUGGGUACUCGAGUGGCGAACGGGUGAGUAACACGUGGGUGAUCUGCCCUGCACUUCGGGAUAAGCCUGGGAAACUGGGUCUAAUACCGGAUAGGACGAUGGUUUGGAUGCCAUUGUGGAAAGUUUUUUCGGUGUGGGAUGAGCUCGCGGCCUAUCAGCUUGUUGGUGGGGUAAUGGCCUACCAAGGCGUCGACGGGUAGCCGGCCUGAGAGGGUGUACGGCGACAUUGGGACUGAGAUACGGCCCAGACUCCUACGGGGGGCAGCAGUGGGGAAUAUUGCACAAUAGGCGCAAGACUGAGGCAGCGACGCCGCGUGGGGGAUGACGGCGUUCGGGUUGUAAAAUCCUUUCGCUAGGGACGAAGCGUUUUUGUGACGGUAACUGGAGAAGAAGCACCGGCUAACUACGUG